rnacentral:rRNA from 1 species
GAUGAACGCUAGCGGCAGGCCUAAUACAUGCAAGUCGAACGCUCAGUAGCAAUACUGGGAGUGGCGCACGGGUGCGUAACGCGUACACAAUCUACCUCUAAGCGGGGACACCUCCUGGAAACGGGGAUUAAUACCGCAUAAUAUGCCGAGGUCGCAAUGACUUUGGUAUUAAGCAGCAAUGCACUUAGAGAUGAGUGUGCGUCCCAUUAGGUAGUUGGUGAGGUAACGACUCACCAAGCCUAUGAUGGGUAGCCGGUCUGAGAGGAUGGUCGGCCACACGGGCACUGAGACACGGGCCCGACUCCUACGGGAGGCAGCAGUAAGGAUAUUGGUCAAUGGUGGAAACACUGAACCAGCCAUGCCGCGUGGAGGAAUAAGGUCCUACGGAUU